UAGAGUAGCCAUUCAAACUGGAUGACAGACAGUAUAGCAAACAAGAAACAAAAAGUGGUGCUCAAAAUCACAUUGUGAUCAAUCAUAGGAGACGGCGAGUUGUAAGCCAGAAGCAGAAUUUGCACCAAAAGUUAGAUUUCAGCAAGCCUAGCUCUCUUCCACUUCCUUCAUCACAUAAAUCAAACUCUCCUGCUCUUGAUGAUAAAUCUGUAAGAGAAAGGAUUGAAGCAGCAAAGAGAAGGCUUCAAGAAGGGUACCGACAAGCUGAAAAGGUGAAGAAGCAACG